AAAGCUUAAACGCAGUGUACAACCUGGGACGUCAUACCCAGAGCUGCCUCUGGCAAGAGGUGUUGUAGCUGGCUUAAGAGGGUAGAUGGAAGCAUCUGCCUCGGGGUGUCUCGCAGAGGUUCAAAGGAGCAAACUGCAUUCUGAAGAGCUGCGUGCCAUGGCAGGCUUUCCACACAAGUGGCUGAGGACUUGAGAUGAGACCAGAGAGUGACAAGGAGCAGCACGUGCAGGGAUGGUUUCCAAGCGCUGCGGUCGCUUUCUCUUCUGUUCAUCAGGUGCCACAGGCAAGGUGAAGAGGUGCCUGGAGCCCCAUGUCAUCUAGCCUGCAUGUGCCUUGAGGAUGAAGCCUGCUUUCCAGCAGUCCCUAAAGCUAAGUUUGGCCCGAAAUGCCCCGUCUGUGUCUUGGGUGGGGUUGUACCUUGGUGUCUUGUGUGAUAUGUGCAUGGGGAUGGCUUUUAAAUCAGUGCAGCAGAGGAACAGAAUCCAGUAACAACUGGGUGAAGAGGCCCUGGGUUCAUCCUUUUCAGCCUAGUGUGUGCCAGGCAGGGCAGUUCCAGCAUGUGUUCUAUGGUGUAUGUUUGUUUCUGUGUACUAUAGUAUCCAUUUAUCAGGUCUUGUUCCCAUAGUUCUUGGCUUCUGCAGUGCUUGCUGAGCACCGUAUCAUGGGUCUUAAAUGUAUUGUCUGGUUGGCACGGGACUAGUAAUGAAGUGUUUCUUGUCUUUCAUUGGGACUUUAAAAGGCUGAUCUCUCUCCAGAGCUUGAUGUAGUCUACAUUUCUUGAUGGCGGCCAUCAUGGCCCUCAGUCUUGGGCUUGUGUAUGUUCACGUACGGUUUAGGGAGCA